ACUUCCGGGAUCUCGCUAUCCGGCCGCCACCCGCAGCUGCAGCACAGUCAUGGCCCAGGCGUCGCCGCCCCGGCCCGAGAGGGUGCUCGGCGCCAGCAGCCCGGAGGCCCGGCCCGCGCAGGAGGCGCUCCUCCUUCCCACCGGUGUGUACCGCGGGGGCGGGCGGGCGGGCGGGCGGGGCUGGGCAGCGACGGGCCCGGUCAAGGGGCCUGCCUUCCGGUCGUGGCCGCAUGGGGGCCCGACCUGCCCCUACUCCGGGCCGGGGCCCUAGACGCCGGGGCGGCGCUGGACGAACUUGGCUCACCACUCGCGUGCCUGUUGGUGGGGGAGGGGGCCAGAGGACAGGGCGCGGCCCAGGCCAGUUCCACAGGUGGCUCUGACUGCCCAUGGUUUCGCGCGAGUGGUGGGCACGCUUCGGUUUACCUCCCCCGCGGGUGACAGCCCAGUGCUUCCACCACAACCGAUGUCAACUCUCCUAGCGCCCCUCCGCUCACCGGUAAACCAGGACAGUGGAGGGGCGCCCUGAUGCGGGCAAGACUCAGCCAAAGGUGGAAAAGUUGAAGGGGUGUUCCCAGCAGAGAGGAUGACACAAAGGCACCAAACCACAAAACGUCACACGUAAACAUCAUACGUGGCAACCACAAGCCAAUCAGUUGGAUAUUUCAUUCAUUGGUAUACAUAUGGACUGUAAGGUGUCUUUCAGGUUGCAGAAAAGAUGGAAAAAAGGACAUGUGCACUCUGCCCCAAAGAUGUCGAAUAUAAUGUCCUAUACUUUGCACAAUCAGAGAAUAUAGCUGCUCAUGAGAAUUGUUUGCUGUAUUCUUCAGGACUUGUGGAAUGUGAGGAUCAGGAUCCACUUAAUCCUGAUAGAAGUUUUGAUGUGGAAUCAGUAAAGAAAGAAAUCCAGAGAGGAAGGAAGUUGAAAUGCAAAUUUUGUCAUAAAAGAGGAGCCACCGUGGGAUGUGAUUUAAAAAACUGUAACAAGAAUUACCACUUUUUCUGUGCCAAGAAGGACGACGCAGUUCCACAGUCUGAUGGAGUUCGAGGAAUUUAUAAACUGCUUUGCCAGCAACAUGCUCAAUUCCCGAUCAUCGCUCAAAGUGCUAAAUUUUCAGGAGUGAAAAGAAAAAGAGGAAGGAAGAAACCCCUCUCAGGCAAUCAUGUACAGCCACCCGAAACAAUGAAAUGUAAUACAUUCAUAAGACAAGUGAAAGAAGAGCAUGGCAGACACACAGAUGCAACUGUGAAAGUUCCUUUUCUUAAGAAAUGCAAGGAAGCAGGACUUCUUAAUUACUUACUUGAAGAAAUAUUAGACAAAGUUCAUUCAAUUCCAGAAAAACUCAUGGAUGAGACUACUUCAGAAUCAGACCAAGCACUUCCCAAACAGUGUGCCUGAGAACCACCUGUAGGGCUGGUGAGGACACAGAUAGCUGGGCCUAUCCCACAGAGAUUCUGAUUCAGUACAAAUACCAAGAAUUGGGGGCCAGGCGCGGUGGCUCACGCCUGUAAUCCCAGCACUUUGGGAGCCCGAGACUAUGAAGAAAUCGGGAGUGCACUUUUUGACUGUAGAUUGUUCGAAGACACAUUUGUAAAUUUUCAAGCAGCAAUAGAGAAAAAAAUUCAUGCAUCUCAACAAAGGUGGCAGCAGUUGAAGGAAGAGAUUGAGCUACUUCAGGACUUAAAACAAACCUUGUGCUCUUUUCAAGAAAAUAGAGAUCUUAUGUCAAGUUCUACAUCAAUAUCAUCCCUGUCUUAUUAGGGAUUACCGUUUCCUAAGCCAAGAGUCAUGUCAAAUUGCAAUCAGGCUCAAAACCAGAGACCAGGCUGUGAAAUCCACACAUCUUUAGAACUAGUCGUCUCCUCUUGGCCUCAGCAGCUCUUCCCUGUUCUUACUGGUUGACAUUUUGAUCACUCUUUGCACACUCUUGUGUUUUUUGCUCACUGUCACAUUCCCAGCACCUAGUAUGCUCAGUAAAUGUUUGUGGAAUAAGUGCAUAAAAUGUUCUUAACCUUUGAUUCUACUUACAGCCCAUGAUAGCCUCUUAGAUAUAAUAAAUUUGGAUUAUACUA